ACGUCAGAACUGUUUCGGUCUUCCAUCAGGGUUUCCCCUGACUUCAACCUGAUCAAGUAUAGUUCACCAUCUUUCGGGUCACAGCAUAUAUGCUCAAGGUACGUUCUAGUUAGAGGUAUAAAUAAUAUAAAUACCAUUAUACAUAACUAUAUAGAACGCCCCGGGAUUGCGUUAAUUAACUAUAAAUAGUUAAAAAACUAAUCCCAUUAAUAGUCAAGUUAAUUAUGUUAUUAGGUUU
rnacentral:rRNA from 2 species